GAUGAACGCUGGCGGCGUGCCUAAUACAUGCAAGUCGAGCGAACAGAUAAGGAGCUUGCUCCUUUGACGUUAGCGGCGGACGGGUGAGUAACACGUGGGUAACCUACCUAUAAGACUGGAAUAACUCCGGGAAACCGGGGCUAAUGCCGGAUAACAUUUAGAACCGCAUGGUUCUAAAGUGAAAGAUGGUUUUGCUAUCACUUAUAGAUGGACCCGCGCCGUAUUAGCUAGUUGGUAAGGUAACGGCUUACCAAGGCAACGAUACGUAGCCGACCUGAGAGGGUGAUCGGCCACACUGGAACUGAGACACGGUCCAGACGCCGACGGGAGGCAGCAGUAGGGAAUCUUCCGCAAUGGGCGAAAGCCUGACGGAGCAACGCCGCGUGAGUGAUGAAGGUCUUCGGAUCGUAAAACUCUGUUAUUAGGGAAGAACAAAUGUGUAAGUAACUGUGCACGUCUGGACGGUACCUAUCAGAAAGCCACGGCUAACUACGUG
rnacentral:rRNA from 1 species